CAUAACUUAGAAAUUGGACCUUGAAGACCCUUCAAUGUAUUUACUUCUCUGUAGUAUUAUACAUAUUUAGCUGAUGAGUUUAAUAUGAUCUAAUUGAGUUAUAUCAGGUAAAUAUAAUCCUGACAUCUUAGAGUUAGAGUUGGAAAAGACCUUAAAAUCCACCUAGUUAGCCUAACUUUCUCAUUCUACAAAUAAGACAACUAAGGCUUGAGUAGGUGAGCUGACUUGUCUCAUAAGAGGGCCAACUGCUCAGCCUCAUCUAGGCGGUGCUGUAAGUCCUUCACAGUCUGCUCAAGAUUCUUCUUCAUCUGCUCUAGGUUUCCUCAAAAAAGGGACAAGGCAAUGACUUUAUUAGCCCCAGAUUGGAUCACAGCUUAAGCUGUGUUUCCCCUGAUAUAGUCUCUUGAUGGGUUCUGUCUCCAUUGAUGGGGCUUACUGGCUGCUUAUGAACAUAAAAAAAUCCUACUCACAGAGAAUUGGCAUUCUUCAGACUUGGUUCAUGUCUGAGGACCACAACCUUAUUCUGUUGACCAGACGCCUGUCCAUAUGGAAACAAAGAAGGCUACAUCUACCUGAGCUAAGUGCUACUGUAUAUCCUUUCUAAGGGCUGAGUAAACCUCCUUUUGUUAACUGGUUAAUGACCUAUGUGUACCUUAUUUAGUCACACUUGACCUGGACAAACAGGAUGCCAACAUAUAUCAAUUUUAGAUGAGGGGAAAACCUUGAUCAAUAUUGGUCAUUUCACAGUGGAAUUUUUAGAUUGUUAAUUCUUUCCAAAACAAACACUGUU